rnacentral:rRNA from 1 species
CUUGCUAUUGGAACUUAGUGGCGAACGGGUGAGUAACACGUAGAUAACCUGCCUGUAUGACCGGGAUAACAGUUGGAAACGACUGCUAAUACCGGAUAGGCAGAGAGGAGGCAUCUCUUCUCUGUUAAAGUUGGGAUACAACGCAAACAGAUGGAUCUGCGGUGCAUUAGCUAGUUGGUGAGGUAACGGCCCACCAAGGCGAUGAUGCAUAGCCGGCCUGAGAGGGCGAACGGCCACAUUGGGACUGAGACACGGCCCAAACUCC